rnacentral:sRNA from 1 species
AUGACAGCCCUGGAGACUGAAGCCCUCUGUUUAUCCACAGAACAUACACAGCAUAAGCGGCCGUAGUACAAACUUUUCCAGGCUGCUCCACCAAUAUGUCUCUACUCUGACCUGAAGGAAAAAUCCCACAUUACCAAAGACAGGAUGACCUGACAGGUCUUUACCAUCUCUGAUGUCCAUGAUUCUAUGAACAGA